UUGGCAUGGGCGAAAGCCUGAUCAGCCUGCCGCGUGUGUGAAGAAGGUCUUCGGAUUGUAAAGCACUUUAAGUUGGGAGGAAGGGCAUUAACCUAAUACGUUAGUGUUUUGACGUUACCGACAGAAUAAGCACCGGCUAACUCUGUGCCAGCAGCCGCGGUAAUACAGAGGGUGCAAGCGUUAAUCGGAAUUACUGGGCGUAAAGCGCGCGUAGGUGGUUUGUUAAGUUGAAUGUGAAAUCCCCGGGCUCAACCUGGGAACUGCAUCCAAAACUGGCAAGCUAGAGUAUGGUAGAGGGUAGUGGAAUUUCCUGUGUAGCGGUGAAAUGCGUAGAUAUAGGAAGGAACACCAGUGGCGAAGGCGACUACCUGGACUGAUACUGACACUGAGGUGCGAAAGCGUGGGGAGC
rnacentral:rRNA from 1 species